UACGUAGGGUGCAAGCGUUAAUCGGAAUUACUGGGCGUAAAGCGUGCGCAGGCGGUUUUGUAAGCCAGAUGUGAAAGCCCCGGGCUUAACCUGGGAAUGGCAUUUGGGACUGCAAGGCUUGAGUGCGGCAGAGGAGACUGGAAUUCCUGGUGUAGCAGUGAAAUGCGUAGAUAUCAGGAGGAAUACCGAUGGCGAAGGCAGGUCUCUGGGCUGACACUGACGCUCAUGCACGAAAGCGUGGGGAGCAAACAGG
rnacentral:rRNA from 1 species